GCUACGGGUGGCAGCAGUGAGGCAUAUUGGUCAAUGGUCGGGAGACUGAACCAGCCAAGCCGCGUGAGGGAUGAAGGUACAGAGUAUCGUAAACCUCUUUUGUCAGGGAACAAAGGCGGGGACGUGUCCCCGGCUGAGUGUACCUGACGAAAAAGCAUAGGCUAACUCCGUGCCAGCGUCCGCGGUAAUACGGAGGAUCCGAGCGUUACCCGGAUUGAUUGGGUUUAACGGGUGGGAAGGCGGUCUGUGAAGUAAGCGGUCAAAGCCCGGGGCUCAACCCGGGCCCGCCGUUGAAACUGGCAGUCUCGAGUUGGAGAGAAGUAGGCGGAAGGCGCGGUGUAGCGGUGAAAUGCAUAGAUAUCGCGCAGAACUCCGAUUGCGAAGGCAGCUUACCAAGCUACGUCUGACGUUGAGGCACGAAAGCGUGGGGAGCAAACAGGAUUAGAUACCCUUGUAGUC
rnacentral:rRNA from 1 species